GGAUUUGAACCCUCGCCUCGUAAGUGCCCAUUGGUUGAGGAACCCAACUGGGCUACAUAGCCACAUGUUGAGAGCGCGAAAAAAUAUUUCGGGUUCUCUAAAACAUGUGACUUUAUCAUCCUUUUCCUUGUACAGGUGUUUUUACAGUUUCUUUUUUUUUUUAAAUAGUCUCAGGAAAAACACCUCUAUGUGUCACUUCGCAUCACGUUAGGUUGUGUUUACUCAUAUCGUAAAAAUUCUACCUUGAAACAAUGGAUUUAAAGAGGCUUACAUGGAGUUUGUUUCUGUAAUUGGAAAAAAAAAGUUGUUUUUUUUGGUUUUUUAGGUUUCAAAUUUUCUCUCCAUCAUAUAUAUUUGGCUAAGAGUUAUACCACAUAUUUUAAACCUCGUCGAUGAUAUUUAUUGCAUGUUACAUAAUGUAUCUCCACUUUUUAUUCCGGAUUAUAAGAUUAAUCUCGAAUUUUUGUGGUGCUUUUAAUGUUAAAUUUGUGCCCCUACCAAAUAAAAGCGAUGGAAUUAUGGAGUAAAUAAUCGAUUUGUAUCUGUCUA